UANGGCGCAAGCGUUAUCCGGAAUUAUUGGGCGUAAAGAGCUUGUAGGCGGUUCGUCGCGUCUGNGUGUGAAAGCCCAUCGCUUAACGGUGGGUCUGCGCCGGGUACGGGCGGGCUAGAGUGCAGUAGGGGAGACUGGAAUUCCCGGUGUAACGGUGGAAUGUGUAGAUAUCGGGAAGAACACCAAUGGCGAAGGCAGGUCUCUGGGCUGUUACUGACGCUGAGAAGCGAAAGCGUGGGGAGCGAACAGGAUUAGAUACCCUGGUAGUCAAGGGCGAAUUCGUU
rnacentral:rRNA from 1 species